CUAGCCCACCUGCCCUGCCAGCGCGCACCGCCCACCUCUCCGUAGCGGGUGCUAAUUGGAGAGCACGUUCCCAGCCCGUGGCGUCGGUUGGCUAGUCCCAUUGCCUAUCCAGGAAGGGGGCGGAGAAUUGGGCCGAGAGCUUCUCCGCCCCCCACCGGAGAAUUGCCGCUAUCUUCAGGUUUGCCUGAGAGGGCGAGUUACCGGGAAAGGAGCAUCACAAUGACGGUGCGCGUGUGCGCUGGGAUUCUGGGACUUGUAGUUCCAGCCUCCGCUGCAACGGCCGGCCUGUCCUGAGGAGAGAUGUAAGGCGCAGUGCUUCUGAGAGCCGACUUCAGAGACAUCUUUACUGCCUGACAUGUUCAGGCUCUUGGAUAAAAACCAGAACAAAAGGCAUCUGAUGAUGAAGUCAUCUUGCUCUCUUCAAACAUAAAGAAGUAGCCAGAUUGUUUUGUUUCUAUUGAUGAAAGUUGGAAAAUGCUUUUUUUCCAUUAUUUAAUACAGACAUGUGCUACAUAACCAGGUAGAAUUAAAAAAAAAAAAUUAGGUUAACAUACAAAUGGGUUUCAUUGUGGGAUCUUCAUUGUUUUCUUUUAAAGAUAGGAUGUAGCCCCCACGAAGCCCUGAAUAGCCUCAAUUUUUUGAUCUUCCUGCCUCAGCCUUGGGCAUGCUGCAAUUACAACUUCCAGCUGGCGUCUUGACAAUCACCUUGUAAAAUAAGCCAAGCCAGAAUCAGCUAGCUAAGCCACUCCCCAAAUUCAGCCCCACAAAAAUAUAAUACAAUAAAUGUUUAAGGUUUAAUCCGCAGCAUCAAAAAUAAAGGUUUAUUAUUAUCUUCAACACUGGUUGAUUGUAACUACUAAUACAGAAAGAUUUGGGCAGAAAAUAGGCAGUGAUGGUUGCACACCUUAAGUCCCAGCACUCAGGAGGCAGAGACAGUGAGUUUGAGGCCAGCCUGGUCUACAGAGAGAGUACCAGGACAACCAGGGCUACACAGAGAAACCCUGCCUUGAAGUAAAGAAAAGAUUUGGGAAAAUAAAGGUGAAAUAGAUGACUGACUCAGGUGUGCGGAUGCCCUAGAUACAUGAAGAACAAAACUCAGACUUAUAAAGAAUCUCACAAAGUAUUCAGUAAGAUUCAGUUUUAUACCAGGUAGUUUUCAUAUAAGACAGAAUUCACUUUACAAUAGUUUUUUUCCCCUUUGCCUUAGCAUGAAAUAAAGAACACACUGAAUAGC